AUUGAACGCUGGCGGCAUGCCUUACACAUGCAAGUCGAACGGUAACGGGCCUUCGGGUGCCGACGAGUGGCGAACGGGUGAGUAAUACAUCGGAACGUGCCCGAUCGUGGGGGAUAACGAGGCGAAAGCUUUGCUAAUACCGCAUACGAUCUACGGAUGAAAGCAGGGGACCGCAUGGCCUUGCGCGGACGGAGCGGCCGAUGGCAGAUUAGGUAGUUGGUGGGAUAAAAGCUUACCAAGCCGACGAUCUGUAGCUGGUCUGAGAGGAUGAUCAGCCACACUGGGACUGAGACACGGCCCAGACUCCUACGGGAGGCAGCAGUGGGGAAUUUUGGACAAUGGGCGCAAGCCUGAUCCAGCCAUGCCGCGUGCAGGAUGAAGGCCUUCGGGUUGUAAACUGCUUUUGUACGGAACGAAAAGCCUUCUUUUAAUACAGGAGGGUCAUGACGGUACCGUAAGAAUAAGCACCGGCUAACUACGUG
rnacentral:rRNA from 1 species